AACAAACGCUGGCGGCGUGCCUAACACAUGCAAGUCGUACGAGAAAGUCGGCUUCGGCCGAUGAGUACAGUGGCGCACGGGUGAGUAGCGCGUGGGUAAUCUGCCCCCCGGUCAGGAAUAACCCGCCGAAAGGCGGGCUAAUACCCGAUAACACUGACGCUCCGCGGAGCGUCUUUCAAAGAAGGCCUCUGUUUACAAGCUUUCGCCGGAGGAUGAGCCCGCGUACCAUUAGCUAGUUGGCAGGGUAAUGGCCUACCAAGGCUACGAUGGUUAGCUGGUCUGGGAGGAUGGCCAGCCACACUGGAACUGAGACACGGUCCAGACUCCUACGGGAGGCAGCAGUGAGGAAUCUUGCGCAAUGGGGGAAACCCUGACGCAGCAACGCCGCGUGAGUGAGGAAGGCCUUCGGGUCGUAAAGCUCUGUCAGAUGGGAAGAAAUGGAUGGGGGCUAAUAUCGCCCAUCCUUGACGGUACCAUCAGAGGAAGCACCGGCUAACUCCGUG
rnacentral:rRNA from 1 species